rnacentral:rRNA from 1 species
ACUCAAGAAAAGGAUUUAAGUCCAACCUGAAGCCUUAAUAGUUUUUCAAAACAUUACCCCGUCUUCAGUGUAAUUCAAAUAAGGUACAGCCUAUUUGAAACAGGAAACAACCUAAAUUAAAGGAUAAAACCGGCUCUUACACAACCUAGUGGGCCUAAAAGCAGCCAUCCCUAAAAUAGCGUCAAAGCUAAAUUGUCCCCACGCCCAAUUUCACUAACUCUAUUUUAAUCCUUUACCAAUACUGAGUAAUUCUAUAAUAUUAUAGAAAAUUUUAUGUUAAAACUAGUAACAAGAAAAAGACUUUCUCUUCAAUGUGAGUGUAAAUCAGAAAGGACAAACCACUGAUACUUAACAUCAAUGAGCCAGAAGUAAAAACCUACCAAGAAAACUCUACUUUUACUUAUGUUAACCUAACACAAGAACACUACAAGAAAGAUUAAAAGAAAAAGAAGGAACUCGGCAAACAUUAGCCUCGCCUGUUUACCAAAAACAUCGCCUCUUGAAUUCUAUGAGAGGUCCAGCCUGCCCAGUGACUUUGUUUAACGGCCGCGGUAUCCUAACCGUGCGAAGGUAGCGUAAUCACUUGUUCUUUAAAUAAGGACUAGUAUGAAUGGCAUCACGAGGGCUACACUGUCUCCUUUUUCUAAUCAGUGAAACUGAUCUUCCCGUGAAGAAGCGGGGAUAUUAAUAUAAGACGAGAAGACCCUAUGGAGCUUAAAAUAACUCAACACUUGCUUAAAAUUAUAAAUUUCAGAACUUCAACUUCUACAAGCAAUAUGAUUGUGAGUUUUUGGUUGGGGUGACCACGGAGAAUAACAUAACCUCCACGUUGAAAGAGAGUUUCACCUCUAAGCUGAGAGUUAUAUAUCUAAGCAUCAACACACUGACAUUCCUUGACCCAAUAUAAUUGACCAACGAACCAAGUUACCCUAGGGAUAACAGCGCAAUCUACUUCAAGAGCUCCUAUCGACAAGUGGGUUUACGACCUCGAUGUUGGAUCAGGGUAUCCUAGUGGUGUAGCCGCUACUAAAGGUUCGUUUGUUCAACGAUUAAAACCCUACGUGAUCUGAGU